rnacentral:rRNA from 1 species
GAGUUUGAUCGUGGCUCAGAUUGAACGCUGGCGGCAUGCCUUACACAUGCAAGUCGAACGGCAGCACGGGAGCUUGCUCCUGGUGGCGAGUGGCGAACGGGUGAGUAAUGCAUCGGAACGUAUCCUGGAGUGGGGGAUAACGUGGCGAAAGUUACGCUAAUACCGCAUAUUCUGUGAGCAGGAAAGCGGGGGACCUUCGGGCCUCGCGCUCUUGGAGCGGCCGAUGUCGGAUUAGCUAGUUGGUGAGGUAAAGGCUCACCAAGGCGACGAUCCGUAGCAGGUCUGAGAGGAUGAUCUGCCACACUGGAACUGAGACACGGUCCAGACUCCUACGGGAGGCAGCAGUGGGAAUUUUGGACAAUGGGGGCAACCCUGAUCCAGCCAUGCCGCGUGAGUGAAGAAGGCCUCGGUUGUAAGU